UUUACGUAGGUGAACCUGCGGAAGGAUCAUUAUUGUAUAACCGAGGUGCGAGGGCUGUCGCUGACCCGAAAGGUCGUGCACGCCCGAGUGCCCUCACACACAUCCAUCUCACCCCUAUGUGCACCACCGCGUGGGUCCCCCUUUGGCUUGUUCGGAGGGGGGCUUACGUUUUCACACAAACUUUGUAUGCAGUGUAGAAUGUAUUUUUUGUUUUUGCGAUCACGCAAUCAAUACAACUUUCAACAACGGAUCUCUUGGCUCUC
rnacentral:misc_RNA from 1 species